rnacentral:snoRNA from 1 species
GAGUUAGAAAUGAUUAUAAAUAUAAUUCUUCAUUCUGACUUGCUUAAUUUGGGCAUGACAAACCUCUUAUUACACCCAUAAAAUUUGAGUUAC